UGGGGAAUAUUGGACAAUGGGCGAAAGCCUGAUCCAGCCAUGCCGCGUGUGUGAAGAAGGCCUUUUGGUUGUAAAGCACUUUAAGCGAGGAGGAGGCUACUUAGAUUAAUACUCUAGGAUAGUGGACGUUACUCGCAGAAUAAGCACCGGCUAACUCUGUGCCAGCAGCCGCGGUAAUACAGAGGGUGCGAGCGUUAAUCGGAUUUACUGGGCGUAAAGCGUGCGUAGGCGGCUUUUUAAGUCGGAUGUGAAAUCCCUGAGCUUAACUUAGGAAUUGCAUUCGAUACUGGGAAGCUAGAGUAUGGGAGAGGAUGGUAGAAUUCCAGGUGUAGCGGUGAAAUGCGGAGAGAUCUGGAGGAAUACCGAUGGCGAAGGCAGCCAUCUGGCCUAAUACUGACGCUGAGGUACGAAAGCAUGGGGAGCAAACAGG
rnacentral:rRNA from 1 species